rnacentral:ncRNA from 2 species
CACGGUGACACGGGGUGCCCCGAUGGCUGAGAUCACACCCGUCGAACCUGUCCAGUUAGCACUGACGAAGGGAUGUCGCCAUGAUCGACC